GCUUUCAUCUGAUCAGUGGCGAACGGGUGAGUAACACGUGAGUAACCUGCCCCAGACUCUGGAAUAACUUCGGGAAACCGGAGCUAAUACUGGAUAUGAAACAGAUCCGCAUGGGUACUGUUUGGAAAGUUUUUCGGUUUGGGAUGGACUCGCGGCCUAUCAGCUUGUUGGUGAGGUAAUGGCUCACCAAGGCGACGACGGGUAGCCGGCCUGAGAGGGCGACCGGCCACACUGGGACUGAGACACGGCCCAGACUCCUACGGGAGGCAGCAGUGGGGAAUAUUGCACAAUGGGCGAAAGCCUGAUGCAGCGACGCCGCGUGAGGGAUGACGGCCUUCGGGUUGUAAACCUCUUUCAGCAGGGAAGAAGCGAAAGUGACGGUACCUGCAGAAGAAGCACCGGCUAACUACGUGCCAGCAGCCGCGGUAAUACGUAGGGUGCGAGCGUUGUCCGGAAUUAUUGGGCGUAAAGAGCUUGUAGGCGGUUUGUCGCGUCUGCCGUGAAAUUUCGA
rnacentral:rRNA from 1 species